rnacentral:rRNA from 1 species
UACGAGAGGGACGAGCGUUAUUCGGAAUGAUUGGGCGUAAAGCGCACGUAGACUGUUUAGAAGAUUGAACCUUGGAAUUUCAAGGCUUAACCUUGAAUAAAGUUUUAAAUUGCUAAUCUAGAGUGAGUGAGAGGAGAAUGGAAUUCCUGGAGUAGAGGUAAAAUUUGUUGAUACCAGGGGGAACACCGAAAGCGAAGGCAAUUCUCUGGCACAUCACUGACGUUGAGGUGCGACAGCGUGGGGAUCAAAAGGG